AGGCAAUAUCGAGGUAUGAAGGGUGCUUGUACUGCCUUCCAAAGUGAAGAGGAGAUGAACAUGGCUUUGCAUAGCUGUUGUUCUAUGCCAACUUACCUACUCUUGCUGGUACCGUAGUGGCAUAUUGCAAAUUUCGUGGACGAACAACUCUAGUCACUAGUGGCUAGUGAGCAACAAUAACAGAGCCUUGACGUUGCUGGACGAGCGACAAUAUAAAUUACAUAAACAUGUCGCUCGUGAUGUGGGAUGACUGCCGUAUCGCAUUGCCAACGCAAACCCAUCCUGUGUCAGUGCAGCCAUCCAGCAACUUGAACUCCCCGGACCAGAUGCCGCUGCAGCUGAACACCAUGCCGAUGGAAAGCCAGGAGUUGAUAGCGAAGCAUUCUGGUCUGCACAGUACAAGGCAAAGAACAAUUAUGAAUUAUAAUGCAUUGUAAUCUUUCCGACACGUCUUUGUAAAAACAAACAAACAGUGCCAUUAUCACAACACUUGAUCAAGCAUCUUGAUGGAGGUAUUUUCCAUUGUGCUGGCUCAGCAUCUGCACCAGGAAGACCAUGUACACUUA